rnacentral:lncRNA from 1 species
GAAGCAACAAAGCUGAAAUACAACCAGAAUUGAAAUCUUCCUUUUGCCUGUCCUAAGUGGAAUCCAGAAAAGAAACAUCCACAUUGGGAGAAAAGGGCACUCAGUGAGGUCCCAAGAAGCAUGGCAUCUGUGUGUCCAUCUUCAGAUCUGCAGCCCGAUUGCAGCAGGCAGAAAAUGCCUUCAGAGAUUGCAGGGGUUUGCUGUCAUGCAGAAACUACCAAAGAACCUAUUGGAAAGUUCUUGGAAGAGCUGCCAGACAUUACCACGGGCAGAUUAAAAUGGUGAGCAUAUGGCCAUACAUUCACAAGAAGCUGAAUGCGAUAACUACAAAAAAUUAAACUUUCUGAUUUUUUUAUUCUUUAAAGAAAUUUGUAAUAAAAUGUUAUUUUCCACUACA